AAGACCUGGACUUUGCAAAAGCCAAGCCUCGAAUGGAUCAGUAUUUCAACCAGAUGGAAAAAAUCAUUAAAGAAAAGAAGACCUCAUCUCGCAUCCGUUUUAUGCUACAGGAUGUGCUUGACCUGCGGCAGAGCAAUUGGGUGCCGCGUCGCGGGGAUCAGGGCCCCAAGACGAUCGAUCAGAUUCACAAGGAGGCUGAAAUGGAGGAACACAGGGAGCACAUCAAGGUCCAGCAGCUCAUGGCCAAGGGCGGCGACAAGCGUCGGGGCGGCCCUCCAGGCCCUCCUGUCAGUGAGUCUGAGGCUGGGGCUAAGGAGGAGACAGGAAAGCUCCUAGAGG
rnacentral:lncRNA from 1 species